UACGGGGGGGGCAAGCGUUGUUCGGAAUUACUGGGCGUAAAGGGCUCGUAGGCGGCCAACUAAGUCAGACGUGAAAUCCCUCGGCUUAACCGGGGAACUGCGUCUGAUACUGGAUGGCUUGAGAUUGGGAGAGGGAUGCGGAAUUCCAGGUGUAGCGGUGAAAUGCGUAGAUAUCAGGAGGAACACCUAUUGCGAAGGCAGCUCGCUGGGACGUUACUGACGCUGAGACGCGAAAGCGUGGGGAGCAAACAGG
rnacentral:rRNA from 1 species